GAUGAACGCUGGCGGCGUGCCUAAUACAUGCAAGUCGAGCGAACGGACGAGAAGCUUGCUUCUCUGAUGUUAGCGGCGGACGGGUGAGUAACACGUGGAUAACCUACCUAUAAGACUGGGAUAACUUCGGGAAACCGGAGCUAAUACCGGAUAAUAUUUUGAACCGCAUGGUUCAAAAGUGAAAGACGGUCUUGCUGUCACUUAUAGAUGGAUCCGCGCUGCAUUAGCUAGUUGGUAAGGUAACGGCUUACCAAGGCAACGAUGCAUAGCCGACCUGAGAGGGUGAUCGGCCACACUGGAACUGAGACACGGUCCAGACUCCUACGGGAGGCAGCAGUAGGGAAUCUUCCGCAAUGGGCGAAAGCCUGACGGAGCAACGCCGCGUGAGUGAUGAGGGUCUUCGGAUCGUAAAACUCUGUUAUUAGGGAAGAACAUAUGUGUAAGUAACUGUGCACAUCUUGACGGUACCUAAUCAGAAAGCCACGGCUAACUACGUGCCAGCAGCCGCGGUAAUACGUAGGUGGCAAGCGUUAUCCGGAAUUAUUGGGCGUAAAGCGCGCGUAGGCGGUUUUUUAAGUCUGAUGUGAAAGCCCACGGCUCAACCGUGGAGGGUCAUUGGAAACUGGAAAACUUGAGUGCAGAAGAGGAAAGUGGAAUUCCAUGUGUAGCGGUGAAAUGCGCAGAGAUAUGGAGGAACACCAGUGGCGAAGGCGACUUUCUGGUCUGUAACUGACGCUGAUGUGCGAAAGCGUGGGGAUCAAACAGGAUUAGAUACCCUGGUAGUCCACGCCGUAAACGAUGAGUGCUAAGUGUUAGGGGGUUUCCGCCCCUUAGUGCUGCAGCUAACGCAUUAAGCACUCCGCCUGGGGAGUACGACCGCAAGGUUGAAACUCAAAGGAAUUGACGGGGACCCGCACAAGCGGUGGAGCAUGUGGUUUAAUUCGAAGCAACGCGAAGAACCUUACCAAAUCUUGACAUCCUUUGACAACUCUAGAGAUAGAGCCUUCCCCUUCGGGGGACAAAGUGACAGGUGGUGCAUGGUUGUCGUCAGCUCGUGUCGUGAGAUGUUGGGUUAAGUCCCGCAACGAGCGCAACCCUUAAGCUUAGUUGCCAUCAUUAAGUUGGGCACUCUAAGUUGACUGCCGGUGACAAACCGGAGGAAGGUGGGGAUGACGUCAAAUCAUCAUGCCCCUUAUGAUUUGGGCUACACACGUGCUACAAUGGACAAUACAAAGGGCAGCGAAACCGCGAGGUCAAGCAAAUCCCAUAAAGUUGUUCUCAGUUCGGAUUGUAGUCUGCAACUCGACUACAUGAAGCUGGAAUCGCUAGUAAUCGUAGAUCAGCAUGCUACGGUGAAUACGUUCCCGGGUCU
rnacentral:rRNA from 1 species